rnacentral:rRNA from 1 species
CGUUUGAUCUCAAAUCAG